AUGCCUGGGCCACAGGGUCCUCCUGGAGGUGCUGGUAGACCAGGUGUGUCAAGACCUGGUCUGAGAGGUCCCCCGGGAUUUCCUGGCCCAAAAGGAAAAAAAGGAGAAAAAGGACAAACAGGCUUGUGCAUUGUAGGCCCUCCAGGACUACCUGGGAUUACUGGCAGACCUGGUUCUGUUGGAUUACCAGGUCCUCCAGGAGAACCAGGUAGAGUAAUAUUUAGAACAGGCCCACCAGGACGUCCUGGAGAGCCAGGGUAUGCAGGACCUCCGGGACCUCCAGGAGAUGUUGGCAUGAAAGGUGAUGAAGCUUGCGUGUGUACUGAUUGUAGCUAUGUUCCGGGAACACCUGGUCUUCCUGGUUCGCCUGGGCCACACGGCCAGGAUGGCAUCCCUGGUAAAUUAUAUCAGUAUUUCUAA
rnacentral:lncRNA from 1 species